rnacentral:lncRNA from 1 species
UUAUUAUAGGUUGCAAUAUCAUAUUCUAUAAUUGAAAAUUAAUGUUUUCAUAUUUGAGUUGCCUAUUGUUUUCCAUUCUUUUUUUAUAAUUAUUUUUGUCUAUAAUACAUAUUUAGAGGGAUAAGGUUCCUGGUGUUCCUCCUUAUUUAAUGUACUUCUUUCUAUUUAUAAAUUUUUAUGUUUGCUUCAAAAUAUAAAUUUUUAAAUUUAGCACGGGGUAAUAUUAAGUCAUGGGUCUGCCUUUGCUCCUCACGCGGAGAUUCUCCAUCCCCACCCCAUUAAACUUAUUGGGAAAUGAGGUGGUAAAUGGAGACAAAAUUUUUAAUGGGGUGAGAAAUGUGGUAGACCGCCCCAUCGCCAUCCUUAUCUACCAGCGUAUGAAACAUUUCAAAUGGUAUUGAUAUAUUUAAAUAGUAUAUGAAAACAAAGGCAAGAACCAAUAAAGUACUUGGAAUUUCCUAUUUAAAGAUCCCAACAUUCUCUUUUAUUUAUAGGCGCCAUACCUUGCAAUCGAAUUCAUGCUUGAUUGAAAUAGGAAUCAACAAAUGAGUACCAAUUAUAUACAAUGGUUACACACUUUCUAAAAGAAAAUAAUACAAUGCACAAUAUUUUUAUGACUUAGGUCUUAUUUGGGAUUGAGUAUGAAACAGUUUGGUAAACACUAACUGCUGUAGCUUAAAAGUUAUUUUGAUAUAAUUUUUCUCUUGAUAAAAAAUCUAUUACAUCUUUUAUAAUUAUAUUAAAAUUAUUAUUUAAAAAUUAUGUUUAUUAUAUACUAUUAAUUUUUAUUUUAUAGUUACAAUAUUUUUCAUAAUAAUUAGCUUAAAAAAUAUAGUAAUUCAAUUUUAAACAGGACCUUAAUAAUAAAAUUCGAUAACGGGACUCGUAACUACUCUUAAAUUCUGCAUGAUUUAUUAUUAAUUUAUCAUUUACCCUUUUAUUCUGCUCUUCGUUAAUGGAUCAGACGGGGCACCACUUCAGCACGGGACUCGUCUUUGGUACCUCUGUAGAGUCUCUAUACAACACGUGUCGGGAAUUCGCUUUCUGUGGGUCAAAGGAUAAACACAAACAAAGAAAAGAAGCGGACAAUAGUACACUGGUCAUUAACGUGGACCAGAGAAGGCAGAUCACUGAGAAGGAGCUUCUGAAAUGAUGAGUUGCUUUGACCAAAACCCCAGUCAAAGUUUGCAGGAGCCGACGCCGAUAACCAUGGUGAACGCUGUGCUUGAACAGCAGUAGUAACAGAAUCACGUUUUUACUGCUUAGGUUUGUACGCGCUAUCGGCAAUUACACGGUACUGUAUCCGAUUAAAAUAUUAUUUUUAUAUUAACCCAUGUUUAGCGGCAACUUAGUAAUUAGAUUGCACUGCAUUAAAAAGAUAGUUAAUAGAGUUAAAGAUAUAUAAUAUAAAUUCAUGGGGCUGUU